AAAUAGCAAAAGCAAACAAAUGAAAAGAAAACUCUCUCAACCUCGAGCCACCCGUAAACCCUAGAUCUCUCACGGUCGCCGGCAAACCCAAUGGCUAAGAAAAAUAAAUCCCCGCCUAAGGGCUCUCAAACGAUGAGGAAGAAAGGAAAGGAAUUUACCUUAACCUCGGGUGAGCUCUGUGUUGAAAUUCCGGAACAAGCACCGAUGGGAGAAAUUCAUCAUAGAUCUGUUUCACGGGAAUGCUCCUAGUCCAGGUGCUCUUCACGCCAUCACAAACGGCAUUUGGAGCAACAGAUUACGUGAUAUUACGGUUUUUAAGCUCUCGGAUAAAUCUUUUCUUAUCAAGAUCUCGAACCCAGAAACUCGGAAGAGGGUCCUGGUUUGUCUCCGAAGAUCCCAACUCUCACUAGAGUUCUUGGACAAUUUUCUAGAAGCUCUUCACUUAUGUGUGUAAGAAGCCGAUAGAUGGUUUCAUAGCUGGGUUCGUUGAUGAGAAUGAUGUUUUCCAAUGGAGCUUCUCAAUUAUGGGUUGUACCUAUUGCAAGUGGUAACUAGCUUUUGCAUCUUGUAAAUCUUCUUUGUGGAACGAAGUAGCUAACACAAUUGAGGUGUAAAAUAAAUUUUCUGAUUUUUUUUUUGCGUCUUGAACCUAGUUUUGGAUUAAAAUUAUCAUGCUUAUAGAUAGUCACAAAUUCACCAGACUAAUACUUUGGUCGUAUCUUUGUUACAGAUUUAGAGGAAAAUAUGAUUGAGAAACAGUCUCACACCACUAAUUCACUAACAACACUACGUAUUGCUCGAAGAUUGUUGUGAUGGAAGUCAUGAGUAUGAUGGUCAAGUGACAUGCCCAAAUACAUGCUCGGAAUCUGAAAAGCUGCUCGAGAAAGUCUGAAGAAAAAAGUCAAGAGACAUAUAACCAAAGGUUUGUAAUUAUACAUUGGAGGUGGACUGGUGUCUUACCCAAUUCUCAGAUCGUCAAGAACGAAGGGGCCGAGUCACUCUUCAAGGGUGCAGGUGCCAACAUAGUGAUGGGAUUGUAAUUUGUACUUUGUGACUACUGACUUGACUACUGACUACAGUAAUUUGAUUUUGUAUUGAUAACCGAGCAAAACCAAAAUACGAUUUUGACUUUAUUUACACAAAACCGGAACCAAAUUACAAGUUUGGUUUCACUUCGGAUUGAA